UACGGGGGGGGGCAAGCGUUGUUCGGAAUUACUGGGCGUAAAGGGCUCGUAGGUGGCCAACUAAGUCAGACGUGAAAUCCCUCGGCUUAACCGGGGAACUGCGUCUGAUACUGGAUGGCUUGAGUUCGGGAGAGGGAUGCGGAAUUCCAGGUGUAGCGGUGAAAUGCGUAGAUAUCUGGAGGAACACCGGUGGCGAAGGCGGCAUCCUGGACCGAUACUGACACUGAGGAGCGAAAGCCAGGGGAGCAAACGGG
rnacentral:rRNA from 1 species